rnacentral:rRNA from 1 species
CACGUAGGGGGCAAGCGUUGUCCGGAUUUAUUGGGCGUAAAGAGCUCGUAGGUGGCUGAGUAAGUCGGAUGUUAAAUCCCCAGGCUCAACCUGGGACACCACCCGAUACUGCUCUGGCUAGAGUCCGGUAGGGGAGCGUGGAAUUCCUGGUGUAGCGGUGAAAUGCGUAGAUAUCUGGAGGAACACCGGUGGCGAAGGCGGCAUCCUGGACCGAUACUGACGCUGAGGAGCGAAAGCCAGGGGAGCAAACGGG